UUUAUUUAUUAAUUUUUUUGCAAAUCCAGGAAAUGAAGUUAAGUCAAGCCAACAACAGCUUGUAGAAAGUAUCUCAGCUCCUUCACACUGGCUUAUGAAGGAAGAAGCUACAUGAAGUUAUUGAGCUGCCAUGUUUCCUAAUUCUUUAACCUCUUCCUGCAGGAUUGCAGUGGCAGAUGUUGCCUCAAACUUAAUGGUUGCAAAGAGAGCGAGAAGAUCAAAAUAGAAAUGCCACACCGUGUACAUCACAUCACACUGUUGUCACUGUGGCCCAGAAAGUGCCAACUCUCAUGAAACUGUGUGUCUCUCUUCUUCUGAAGUGAGAUGGAGUGUCUGCUGUUCUUGGAAGUUAACAUGACGUCAUUUCCCUGCGGCUUCAUCUGAAAUUCACUGCCAGAGCUCAUGAACAUCCGGAGUGGCCCUUUUCCAGAGGAAUGUAAAUGCUUACAGAUGCUUUAUCCAGGUAUCGUGAUGAAUGAUGUCCUGAUCCUCAUCUUUGUUCCUCAGUGAAGUUUAGCUUCAUCUCUGUGUCUGUCCUGGACCUCUGACCCCGAUGAGCACUUGGAAUUGUUUCAGAUUCAGACUACAGUCUGACAAUGACUGCACAGAUGUCCUUCACUGCUGGUGAUAUCCCACAAUCCUGUGCAUGCAACUCACAGUUGGUGGAAUAUAAAAAAAUUGGCUAAAAGAA
ensembl:lncRNA